rnacentral:rRNA from 1 species
GCAAGUCGAACGGAAAGGCCCUGCUUUUGUGGGGUGCUCGAGUGGCGAACGGGUGAGUAACACGUGAGUAACCUGCCCUUGACUUUGGGAUAACUUCAGGAAACUGGGGCUAAUACCGGAUAGGAGCUCCUGCUGCAUGGUGGGGGUUGGAAAGUUUCGGCGGUUGGGGAUGGACUCGCGGCUUAUCAGCUUGUUGGUGGGGUAGUGGCUUACCAAGGCUUUGACGGGUAGCCGGCCUGAGAGGGUGACCGGCCACAUUGGGACUGAGAUACGGCCCAGACUCCUACGGGAGGCAGCAGUGGGGAAUAUUGCACAAUGGGCGGAAGCCUGAUGCAGCAACGCCGCGUGCGGGAUGACGGCCUUCGGGUUGUAAACCGCUUUCGCCUGUGACGAAGCGUGAGUGACGGUAAUGGGUAAAGAAGCACCGGCUAACUACGUGCCAGCAGCCGCGGUGAUACGUAGGGUGCGAGCGUUGUCCGGAUUUAUUGGGCGUAAAGGGCUCGUAGGUGGUUGAUCGCGUCGGAAGUGUAAUCUUGGGGCUUAACCCUGAGCGUGCUUUCGAUACGGGUUGACUUGAGGAAGGUAGGGGAGAAUGGAAUUCCUGGUGGAGCGGUGGAAUGCGCAGAUAUCAGGAGGAACACCAGUGGCGAAGGCGGUUCUCUGGGCCUUUCCUGACGCUGAGGAGCGAAAGCGUGGGGAGCGAACAGGCUUAGAUACCCUGGUAGUCCACGCUGUAAACGGUGGGUACUAGGUGUGGGGUCCAUUCCACGGGUUCCGUGCCGUAGCUAACGCUUUAAGUACCCCGCCUGGGGAGUACGGCCGCAAGGUUAAAACUCAAAUGAAUUGACGGGGGCCCGCACAAGCGGUGGAGCAUGUGGUUUAAUUCGAUGCAACGCGAAGAACCUUACCAAGGCUUGACAUAUACUGGACCGCAUCAGAGAUGGUGUUUCCCUUCGGGGCUGGUAUACAGGUGGUGC